ACACGUAGGGGGCGAGCGUUGUCCGGAAUCACUGGGCGUAAAGGGCACGCAGGCGGUUAGUCAAGUCAGGUGUGAAAGUCCAGGGCUCAACCCUGGGAUAGCACUUGAAACUGGCUAACUUGAGGGCAGGAGAGGCAAGUGGAAUUCCUGGUGUAGCGGUGAAAUGCGUAGAUAUCAGGAAGAACACCAGUGGCGAAGGCGACUUGCUGGACUGACCCUGACGCUGAGGUGCGAAAGCGUGGGGAGCGAACAGGAUUAGAUACCCUGGUAGUCCACGCUGUAAACGCUGGGUACUAGGUGUAGGGGGUGGUUACACCCUCUGUGCCGAAGCAAACGCGAUAAGUACCCCGCCUGGGGAGUACGGCCGCAAGGCUGAA
rnacentral:rRNA from 1 species